rnacentral:rRNA from 1 species
ACGAACGCUGGCGGCGUGCUUAACACAUGCAAGUCGAACGGAAAGGCCCUGCUUUUGUGGGGUGCUCGAGUGGCGAACGGGUGAGUAACACGUGAGUAACCUGCCCUUGACUUUGGGAUAACUUCAGGAAACUGGGGCUAAUACCGGAUAGGAGCUCCUGCUGCAUGGUGGGGGUUGGAAAGUUUCGGCGGUUGGGGAUGGACUCGCGGCUUAUCAGCUUGUUGGUGGGGUAGUGGCUUACCAAGGCUUUGACGGGUAGCCGGCCUGAGAGGGUGACCGGCCACAUUGGGACUGAGAUAAGGCCCAGACUCCUACGGGAGGCAGCAGUGGGGAAUAUUGCACAAUGGGCGGAAGCCUGAUGCAGCAACGCCGCGUGCGGGAUGACGGCCUUCGGGUUGUAAACCGCUUUCGCCUGUGACGAAGCGUGAGUGACGGUAAUGGGUAAAGAAGCACCGGCUAACUACGUG